AUCGCUUCUUGGCCUUUUGGCUAAGAUCAAGUAUAGUAUCUGUUCUUAUCAGUUUAAUAUCUGAUAUGUCCCUUAUCUGGGGACUAUAUGUUAAAUUGAUUUUUGGAACAGGGAGAUGGAAUAGGGGCUUGCUCCAUUCAUUCCACGCAAUCCAGUGAUGAUGCCUUACAACUUAAAUAACAUAUCUG